rnacentral:rRNA from 1 species
UACGUAGGGGGCAAGCGUUGUCCGGAAUUAUUGGGCGUAAAGAGCGUGUAGGCGGUCCGGUAAGUCCGCUGUGAAAGUCCAGGGCUCAACCCUGGAAUGCCGGUGGAUACUGCCGGGCUAGAGUCCGGAAGAGGCGAGUGGAAUUCCUGGUGUAGCGGUGAAAUGCGCAGAUAUCAGGAGGAACACCGAUGGCGAAGGCAGCUCGCUGGGACGGUACUGACGCUGAGACGCGAAAGCUAGGGGAGCAAACGGG